UACGUAGGGGGCAAGCGUUGUCCGGAAUCACUGGGCGUAAAGCGUGCGUAGGCGGUUUGUUAAGUCCGAAGUGAAAGUCCAGGGCUCAACCCUGGGAAUGCUUUGGAAACGGGCAGACUUGAGUGCUGGAGAGGCAAGGGGAAUUCCACGUGUAGCGGUGAAAUGCGUAGAGAUGUGGAGGAACACCAGUGGCGAAGGCGCCUUGCUGGACAGUGACUGACGCUGAGGCACGAAAGCGUGGGUAGCGAACGGG
rnacentral:rRNA from 1 species